AGAUUGAACGCUAGCGGGAUGCUUUACACAUGCAAGUCGAACGGCAGCGCGGACUUCGGUCUGGCGGCGAGUGGCGAACGGGUGAGUAAUAUAUCGGAACGUGCCCAGUAGCGGGGGAUAACUACGCGAAAGCGUGGCUAAUACCGCAUACGCCCUACGGGGGAAAGGGGGGGAUCGCAAGACCUCUCACUAUUGGAGCGGCCGAUAUCAGAUUAGCUAGUUGGUGAGGUAAAGGCUCACCAAGGCGACGAUCUGUAGCUGGUUUGAGAGGACGACCAGCCACACUGGGACUGAGACACGGCCCAGACUCCUACGGGAGGCAGCAGUGGGGAAUUUGGACAAUGGGGGAAACCUGAUCCAGCCAUCCCGCGUGUGCGAUGAAGGCCGUUCGGGUUGUAAAGCUACUUUGGCGUAGGAAGAAACGGACGUU
rnacentral:rRNA from 1 species